GACGAACGCUGGCGGCGUGCUUAACACAUGCAAGUCGAACGGAAAGGCCCUUCGGGGUGCUCGAGUGGCGAACGGGUGAGUAACACGUGGGUGAUCUGCCCUGCACUUUGGGAUAAGCCUGGGAAACUGGGUCUAAUACCGAAUACACCUCACUGUCUGCAUGGGUGGUGGGGGAAAGCUUUUGCGGUGUGGGAUGGGCCCGCGGCCUAUCAGCUUGUUGGUGGGGUGAUGGCCUACCAAGGCUACGACGGGUAGCCGGCCUGAGAGGGUGUCCGGCCACACUGGGACUGAGAUACGGCCCAGACUCCUACGGGAGGCAGCAGUGGGGAAUAUUGCACAAUGGGCGCAAGCCUGAUGCAGCGACGCCGCGUGGGGGAUGACGGCCUUCGGGUUGUAAACCUCUUUCACCAUCGACGAAGCCUUCGGGUGACGGUAGGUGGAGAAGAAGCACCGGCCAACUACGUGCCAGCCGCCGCCGUAACAC
rnacentral:rRNA from 1 species